GACGAACGCUGGCGGCGUGCCUAAUACAUGCGAGUCGAGCGAAUGGAAGGGAGCUUGCUCCCUGAAGUUAGCGGCGGACGGGUGAGUAACACGUGGGCAACCUGCCUGUAAGACUGGGAUAACUUCGGGAAACCGGAGCUAAUACCGGAUACGUUCUUUUCUCGCAUGAGGAAAGAUGGAAAGAUGGUUUCGGCUAUCACUUACAGAUGGGCCCGCGGCGCAUUAGCUAGUUGGUGGGGUAAUGGCCCACCAAGGCGACGAUGCGUAGCCGACCUGAGAGGGUGAUCGGCCGCACUGGGACUCAGACACGGCCCAGACUCCUACGGGAGGCAGCAGUAGGGAAUCUUCCGCAAUGGACGAAAGUCUGACGGAGCAACGCCGCGUGAGCGAAGAAGGCCUUCGGGUCGUAAAGCUCUGUUGUCAGGGAAGAACAAGUGCCAGAGUAACUGCUGGCACCUUGACGGUACCUGACCAGAAAGCCACGGCUAACUACGUGCCAGCCGCCGCGGUAA
rnacentral:rRNA from 1 species